rnacentral:rRNA from 1 species
UACGUAGGGUGCAAGCGUUGUCCGGAAUUAUUGGGCGUAAAGAGCUCGUAGGCGGUUCGUCGCGUCGGCUGUGAAAUCCCGAGGCUCAACCUCGGGUCUGCAGUCGAUACGGGCGGACUGGAGUUCGGCAGGGGAGACUGGAAUUCCUGGUGUAGCGGUGAAAUGACGCAGAUAUCAGGAGGAACACCGGUGGCGAAGGCGGUUCUCUGGGCAUUACCUGACGCUGAGGAGCGAAAGCAUGGGGAGCGAACAGG